rnacentral:rRNA from 1 species
UUAGGAAUCUUGCGCAAUGGCCGAAAGGCUGACGCAGCAACGCCGCGUGGAGGAAGAAGGCCCUCGGGUCGUAAACUCCUUUUCUGAGGGAAGAUAAUGACGGUACCUCAGGAAUAAGCCCCGGCUAACUACGUGCCAGCAGCCGCGGUAAUACGUAGGGGGCGAGCGUUGUCCGGAUUUACUGGGCGUAAAGGGCGCGUAGGCGGCAUGCCAAGUCGUGCGUGAAAGGCCCCGGCUCAACCGGGGAGGGUCGUGCGAUACUGGCAAGCUCGAGGCCGGCAGGGGGAAGUGGAAUUCCCGGUGUAGUGGUGGAAUGCGUAGAUAUCGGGAGGAACACCAGUGGCGAAGGCGGCUUCCUGGACCGGUCCUGACGCUGAGGCGCGAAAGCGUGGGGAGCGAACUGA